GGAGAGGUGCCAGAGUGGCCGAAUGGAGCUGACUGCUAAUCAGUUGUCUCCCGCAAGGGGGACCCAGGGUUCGAAUCCCUGCCUCUCCG
rnacentral:tRNA from 1 species